GAUGAACGCUGGCGGCGUGCCUAAUACACGCAAGUCGAGCGGUAACACUUCGGGUGACGAGCGGCGGACGGCUGAGUAACACGUAGGAACGUACCCCAAACUGAGGGAUAAGCACCGAAAACGGUGUCUAAUACCGCAUGUGGUCUUCGGAUUAAAGCUUCGGCGGUUUGGGAACGGCCUGCGCAUGAUUAGCUUGUUGGUGAGGUAAAAGCUCACCAAGGCGACGAUCAUUAGCUGGUCUGAGAGGAUGAUCAGCCAGACUGGGACUGAGACACGGCCCAGACUCCUACGGGAGGCAGCAGUAGGGAAUUUUCCACAAUGGGCGAAAGCCUGAUGGAGCAACGCCGCGUGCAGGAUGAAUGCCUUCGGGUUGUAAACUGCUUUUAUUGGUGACGAUUAUGACGGUAGCCAAUGAAUAAGGAUCGGCUAACUCCGUGCCAGCCGCCGCGGUAA
rnacentral:rRNA from 1 species